rnacentral:lncRNA from 1 species
GUGCCUUUUUCUUUGGACUAAACCGUUAUUGGAUUCGAAAAUUCAAGAAGAGGAUUAAUCUAGAACAGCGAGUGACUGAAAAUUAUAAAUUGGUAUUUUUAUUUACUGUCUAAUAAUAGUUGAUUAACAUCACUAAUAAACUUUAUAAUAUUUCUCAAACUUUUCGAUGGCAACUAUCAAAAUGGAUUAGAGUAAAACAAAUACAAAUAAAAGUAGUAACGAAAGUACCCAUAAGGAAAUAUACAUGUAUAUUAAAAGUGCGUGGGCAAAACAUUUACUACAUAUAAAACCA